UACGUAGGGAGCGAGCGUUGUCCGGAAUUACUGGGUGUAAAGGGUGCGUAGGCGGCCUUGUGGGUCAGGCGUGAAAUACAUGGGCUUAACCCAUGGACUGCGCUUGAACUAUAAGGCUUGAGUGAAGUAGAGGCAGGUGGAAUUCCCGGUGUAGCGGUGAAUGCGUAGAGAUCGGGAGGAACACCAGUGGCGAAGGCGGCCUGCUGGACUGUGACUGACGUUGAGGCCCGAAGGCGUGGGGAGCAAACAGG
rnacentral:rRNA from 1 species